AUCGUUCGCUAUCUUUUUUAUUAAGCUAACGAGAGGCAUCGUCAAUUUUCCUUUUGUUUCCUUUUUCUCUUUGGAUAAUCGCGUGCGACGUUUGUUACGCUGCGAUUUCACCGGUAAACAACGGAAGAAUUAUUAUGUACCGUUUCUGCGAUAAUUAGUUGAUACGUAUUCGUGAGAUAGAAAUCCGGAAAUCCAAUAGCAACUAACGAUCACUCGUGGAUUACGAAUGUAACGAUUUACGAUAAAAAUGUAUUACAUGUGUUUCUAGUGUUGUAAGCAGCUUUGAAACGUGCAUCGAUAAUAUCGCUGAUCGCUUCAAAUGGGACGUCGAGUACUAAAACAGUGCCGACCUAUCGCUUUAAAUUCAAUGGUGUGACAUAAAAAUAAUUUCCUCCUCGAUUGGAUGAGAUCGACGCGAACGAGACGCGAAAGGAAAGCGAAUUAAAUAAAUAAGUAGGUCGUAAAUUCUCGGAAGCGUUAUGCAUCCGAGGCACCGGCAGAUUUCGCUAAAUCAAGCGCAAUUACCGAUCCGUCGUCUCGUCUGAACCUGCAAUUCCCCCAUUGCCCUUACCUUCGCAACGAUUCCAGUUCCUACCCUGGAAUCACUCAAUCCCCGUUUACCUCUCUCGUUCGCGCAAUGUUUGCGCGCAGUCAUGGCACCAGCAAAGUGGCCCUAUCAAUAUUAAUCGCAAUAUUUGCCUGGCAUGCUCUUCGUCGCACUCUCUAUUACCAAUUAAUCCGGUCGUGCGAAGUAUGCUGCGAACGAGCAGAUAGGCCAUAACGCGCGAGAUGAAGCGAGGGAACGAGAGAGUAAGACUGACCAGGGGACAAAUAAAAAUGAUGGAAGAAGAAAGACGGACAGAGAGGAAGAGAAAGAACGGGUGAGACAGUGAGACGGUGAAGGGGAAAGCGAGAGGGGCCAGAGAGAAAGAGAGAGAAACGACUCGUUGACGGGUUAGAUAUUGUGUCAGCCGAGUCGUCCAGCAUUAAAAGUAAUUACGACGUGAUUGACCGAGGGCCCGUUGGCCGAGGGUGAGGCGACGCCGAGGGGAAGGCUAAAUCAUCGGAGUGACGCACGUAGCUCGUUGUUGCCUCCCAAUUAUACAAUCAGCGAGACCAAGCAGAGGAGAAGCGAGAGGGAAAAACCGAAAGAUAGACGGAGAGUGGGAAGGCCAGCCCGUGCAGCAGAAGAAAGAAGCAAAGAAUAUACUUGGAUCUUGUAUCUCGUGACGGACGAAAGACGAGAAGAGACGGUGGCGGAAUUACGUCAGGAACGUAGUGGGGCAGCCGUGGUCGUUCGAGUCGGCGAAGAUCGGUGCCAUCGCAACGAUAAUUGCCAACCGGAACCACUAGCGCGACCGGGGAUGGAUCCAGACUCUCGAACAUCGACUUUUCACAGCUAUUUUCAAGGACAACGUUUGGUACGCUACAGUAAACGUUACAGAUUCGAGGGAAGGUGUUUGAAUCCGCCCCUGUGCAAGAUGAGAAGAAGAGGAAGACGGACGAAGGAAGAUGGACCGAUCGCGAUUGUUAUCGUCUAUUAUAAAGUCGAGUAAGUUGGCCUGUGAUGCAGCUGCCGUUUUGUACGGCGAUGACGACGGUGGUUUAUAAGUCGUGAUCUAGAAACAAAUGAGCCAUUGUGGAGGACAAUCGUUCCGUUAAGGACGGGAGGAGGGCCAAAUAGGCGUGAAGAAUCGAACGACCGAACUGGCAAGAAGAAGUAAUCGAUUUCGAGAUGGUUUCCGUCGUACUGCGACGACGUCUAAUCCAACCGUUGCAAAAGGAAAACACAUUUCGCGCUCGAACACCUCCCAAGUGCUACGCGCUACCAUUCUUCAUCCGUUUAACGUUUGUUCCUCUCCGUGAAUCAAUGCGCGAGCUUUAUUUAAACGUUUCUAUUCUUACGCUACUUUUCGACCAAAUCGAUCCUGUGAUAUUGAAAUAACAAAGAUACAAACUUGGACGAAACUACUAAAACUGUUCGGCUAGAUAUAAAAAGUGAGUCGAAGAAUGCUAAGAACAACGAAAUGAAACUGAACGAUACCACACCUGUACUCAAUUAGGUUGAGUAUUUAACAGGUUUCCCGCGCGACCAAACGACGAACGAUGGAACACACAGAGAAGCGAGGAGAAGGAACUGAGUGCAAAACGAUCCAGAGCAACGGAACCAGUAGAAAUCUCUCGCUACCUUUUCCAGACCUCCAGCGGCGCAGCGAUCGAAAACGAUCGAAUAGAGCAAGGAACCGUACGACGUUUCGCGGAACACAACGGCUCGUAAGCGGCCGUCGUGCAGGCGUUAAAGAUCUGAUGCCCACUAAUGACGAAGUCUUGUGUUCACGUGUUGACACUAACUGAUCACGAAAAGGAGGACGAAGAAGUGUCAAUGAUUGCUUCGCUGUGUCAUCCUGUCCGUUUGAUAAAUGGUUGGAAAUAUCGGAGAGAAUAGGGUACCGAGAAAUCAAGCGUCCGGUAGAAGAAUCUCCGGACGGAUCCGAACAAGGGCUGGUCGUGCAGGCGUUAAGGAUCCGAUGACGCUAAUGACGAGGCCAUGUGUCCGCAUAUUGACGCUAACUGGACUGACCACGAAGAAGGAAAGCAAGAAGGAUACGAAAGAAGAAGCAGAAGAAGAGAAGAAAGAUAAAAGGGGAAGAGGUGGCGAUGGUUUGCAGUACCACGAGUAGAGUAGAAGACCGGUGUGCACGGAGGUAACGGAGGUAACAAACGUCUCCUCGAGGCCUCGAGUGUGGUAGAAAGGCGGAGGAGGGAGGGCCGCGGCAAAGGGUUCUUCCGAGGGUUAGUCCGCAGAGGUGAGAGGCAGAUCGUCUCGCGAGAAGGACCGUGCUCGAGGGAGAAGGAAGAUGAGAAAGCCCCAGGCUCGAGCCCAGCACCUCAUUACCCGAUAAUUUACUACGCGAGUAAUUAACUGGGCACACAAACGGUGCCACGUUAUAUACACCCUGCGCGCAUAUAUACGCCUCGACGACUCUUCCCUGGCUCUUUUCGAUUCUGCAGGCUCAUAUAUUACCAGUGCCGCGUCCUCUUGCCGAUCUAUUUAUCCAUUCGUUUGUACGUGAUGAACCUUCGACGUGCGAAUGCACGUAGAUAUUUCCAAAGACCAGUCUGACAAUAAUCGCUUAAACGAUAGAAAAUGGGACGACGGAGACGGAAUCGUACGUAGUUCGGUGCACCGUGUUUCUUUCGUUCGCACGGUUAUAAAUGCGACGCGAUAUUCCUCGUUCGCGCCCAACGUGUUGUAUGCUUACAAAGCACCGACAAACGAGUGUAUAUAUCGGAGGAUAUCGUAUGUUACGAAAGAAAGUAUCAAUCGAAUCCUCGUUACGUGUGGUACACGCUUGUUUCAUGAUCUAUACGCUGUGUUAACCAUUCUUCUGUAUUUGUACUUUUUAACGCAAUGUUACAAGUCCGAUAUUGCCGAUAUUGCUUAACAAUGUCUGUCUGAACCUCGUGAGAAGCUUUAACAUUUAUCUGGGAAUUUACGACCAUUUACCUUACCUGUUUGUCAUAAAUAAAUUUGUGCAAGUCA